rnacentral:rRNA from 1 species
UACGAAGGGGGCUAGCGUUGCUCGGAAUGACUGGGCGUAAAGGGCGCGUAGGCGGUUUGUAUAGUCAGGUGUGAAAUUCCCGGGCUCAACCUGGGGGCUGCACUUGAUACGUAUGGACUGGAGUGGGGAAGAGGGUCGUGGAAUUCCCAGUGUAGAGGUGAAAUUCGUAGAUAUUGGGAAGAACACCGGUGGCGAAGGCGGCGACCUGGUCCUUGACUGACGCUGAGGCGCGAAAGCGUGGGGAGCAAACAGG